rnacentral:lncRNA from 1 species
AUGAGGUAAGGAAAGGGUAUUAAAUUGAGGACUAAUAGAGAACCAAUUCACAUCGUAUGGGCAUGCAUGAGAAAGAUCUAUGAAGACCCAGGUACGGAGAGGCAUUCUAGUCUAUAUCUGAAGGUUGGAAUGAGGGGAAGACAUGAUCUUGCAUGGACAGAAGUUGUGUGAAAGGAUUUUUGAAAGCUUCAAUAAUAUAUAAGGUCACAUUUCUCAGGACCCACCGGUGAACAAGGAUUCAUAUGGUCAGUCCCCAAGAGGAGACAAAGCUUCAUGGUUAUGUAAUUUUUUUCCAAUCUAACAAUAAUUAUAGCACACAAAUUUUGGAAUCAACCAAAGAUCG